rnacentral:tRNA from 1 species
GCCGAAGUGGUGAAAUUGGCAGACACGCUGUGUUCAGGGCGCAGUGAGCGUAGGCUCGUGUGGGUUCGAGUCCCAUCUUCGGCACCA